rnacentral:rRNA from 1 species
AUGGCGACGACGACUUUUUGUUGCAAUCGUCGUACGUACUUGCUACGUCCGGCAACGGGUUUUGUUACAUCCGUUCAUCAUGCAAAUGUUGCUACCUACAACAACGAGCUACAACCAGCGAAAAUGGUGACAUUUCUUUUUUGCUGCAACCGUGUCUCCAUUUUGCUACGACAAAUAACGAAAAAUGCUACAACGGGCAAUUCUAUUUGCUGGAACCAGUCAAUCGCCAGCGAUGCGGAGCUGGAUCCAUGGCGUGCGCGGGCGGCGAGGGCGGGAUCCACCCACGGCGAGUGUGGGCGGCGAAGCUGCAUCCAUGGCAAGCGCGGGCGGCGGAGCUGCAUCCAUGGUGAGCGUAGAUCUCCGAGGAGCGCGGGCGGUGGAGCUGCAUCCAUGGCGAGCAUGGAUCUCGGGCAAGCGUGA